UACGAAGGGGGCUAGCGUUGUUCGGAUUUACUGGGCGUAAAGCGCACGUAGGCGGAUCGUUAAGUGAGGGGUGAAAUCCCAGGGCUCAACCCUGGAACUGCCUUUCAUACUGGCGAUCUUGAGUCCGGAAGAGGUGAGUGGAACUCCUAGUGUAGAGGUGGAAUUCGUAGAUAUUAGGAAGAACACCAGUGGCGAAGGCGGCUCACUGGUCCGGUACUGACGCUGAGGUGACGAAAGCGUGGGGAGCAAACAGG
rnacentral:rRNA from 1 species